rnacentral:lncRNA from 1 species
UGAAGUUACGGUGUACAUUUGGUUGGAAAGCCAUUUGAAUAGUUCCGGUGAGGUUGCGGUGGAAUGUAAUAUACCGGAUUUUAAAUAUAAAAAUAGAAAUAAAUAAAAAUAGUAUGAGAUACUAUUUUAUUGGAUUUAGAGAAGUGAAAUAUAAGUUGAAAAUAACCUGUGCUGAAAUCGGAGCGAAAACAGAAGAUUUAGAAUUUUCUGUGAGAGACAGGGCAGAUAAAUUAGCAGAAAAUGCACAGUGUCAAAAAAUUAUAAAAACUGGAGGGUAAGUCAUAAUUAUUUUUAUAAGGCUAGAUUUAAAGUUU